CCCUUAGAUGUUCUGGGCCGCACGCGCGCUACACUGAUCGAUUCAACGAGUUUUAUAAUAUUUUGUUUAAAAAAUUUAUAUAUCCUUUGUCGGAAGGCAUGGGUAAUCUUUUAAAUGUCGAUCGUGAUGGGGCUAGAUUCUUGCAAUUAUUAAUCUCCAACGAGGAAUUCCUAGUAAACGCAAGUCAUCAGCUUGCAUUGAUUACGUCCCUGCCCUUUGUACACACCGCCCGUCGCUACUACCGAUUGAAUGCCUAGGUGAUGGUUACGGAGGCCGAUGUCCAUCCGGCGCAAAGUUUUCACAACCUAGGUCAUUUAGAGGAAGUAAAAGUCGUAACA
rnacentral:rRNA from 1 species